rnacentral:rRNA from 1 species
UACGAAGGGAGCUAGCGUUGUCCGGAAUUACUGGGCGUAAAGAGCUUGUAGGUGGUUUGUCGCGUUGUCCGUGAAAACUCACAACUCAAUUGUGGGCGUGCGGGCGAUACGGGCAGACUGGAGUACUGCAGGGGAGACUGGAAUUCCUGGUGUAGCGGUGGAAUGCGCAGAUAUCAGGAGGAACACCGGUGGCGAAGGCGGGUCUCGUGGGCAGUGAACUGACGCUGGAGGAGCGAAAGCGUGGGGAGCGAACAGG